CGUGCUAAGAGCAUGCCCAAGGUGUGGGGUGGAAGGCGGGGAUUGGCUCCGGGUUAGGUUCCUCCGGUCCUUGUCCGAUGUGCCGCCUACCGGAUGUGACUUUCCUAGGCCCUGGCCAGGAUUUAGGCCCUAUACUGCAAUGAUUCUGCCACCGGAAAGGAGGUUGUGAGCUGGUGAUCUGUCUCCUUUCACAAGUACCAAGUGAUAAGACAAGAGAAAAUGAACUCAGGCUGCACCAGAGAUAGAUAGUGUGGGACAAUGUCAGAUCUAGCUGGCACAAACCCUUUGGGAGGAAGCAAAGAAAAUUGAGGAAUCCAAGGAAAAGUAAAAUCUGCAUCGGAAGAAGGU